rnacentral:rRNA from 1 species
AGCGAACGCUGGCGGCAGGCCUAACACAUGCAAGUCGAACGGACCUUUCGGGGUUAGUGGCGGACGGGUGAGUAACACGUGGGAACGUGCCUUUAGGUUCGGAAUAGCUCCUGGAAACGGGUGGUAAUGUCGAAUGUGCCCUUCGGGGGAAAGAUUUAUCGCCUUUAGAGCGUGCCCGCGUCUGAUUAGCUCGGUGGUUGAGGUAACGGCUCACCAAGGCGACGAUCAGUAGCUGGUCUGAGUGGAUGGCCAGCCACAUUGGGCCUGAGACACGGCCCAAACUCCUACGGGAGGAAGCAGUGGGGAAUCGUGCGCAAUGGGCGAAGGCCGUACGAAGCCAUGCCGCGUGAAUGAUGAAGGUCUUAGGAUUGUAGAGUGCUUUCACCGAGGGCGAUAAUGACGGUACCCGGAGAGGAAGCCCCGGCUAACUGCGUGCCAGCCGCCGCAGUAAUAC